AUUGAACGCUGGCGGCAGGCUUAACACAUGCAAGUCGAGCGAGCGGCGGACGGGUGAGUAGUGUCUGGGAAACUGCCUGAUGGACGGGGAUAACUACUGGAAACGGUAGCUAAUAGCGCAUACCAUCAGAUGUGCCCAGAUGGGAUGAGCUAGUAGGAGGGGUAAUGGCACACCUAGGCGACGAUCCCGAGCUGGUCUGAGAGGAUGACCAGCCACACUGUAACUGAGACACGGUCCAGACGCCUACGGGAGGCAGCAGUGGGGAAUAUUGCACAAUGGGCGCAAGCCUGAUGCAGCCAUGCCGCGUGUGUGAAGAAGGCCUUCGGGUUUUAAAGCACUUUCAGCGAGGAGGCGUUACUCGCAGAUGAAGCACCGGCUAACUCCGUGCCAGCAGCCGCGGUAAUUC
rnacentral:rRNA from 1 species